rnacentral:lncRNA from 1 species
CGAGACCGAGUGCCGAGAACCGGAGAAGGUUCCGGCAUUAAAAAGGCAGAGAAGGGGAGAGUCGGACUGUCGGAGAGAAGGGGGGAGCCGGGGAGGAAAAAGCCGUUGCCCACUUGCCCGUUGCUUGUCGAGUGUCGACGACUCGACCGCUCGACCAUCGACCACGCCAUCGCCCGUCGCCCGUCGCCAGUCGCCGCAGUCGGCCUCAGCCUUUCACCGUUUUACGUCGCGUCGCCGCCGCCCAAACCCGCUGCCCACUCCGCCACUCGGCCACUCCCUCCAUAGCUGAUAGCCCAUAGCCAUAAGCAUAGCCAGUCCCCUCCGCGAUAGCCCUGAGCUGGAAUAAAAAAAAAAAAACAAGUGGGUGGUGGCCCGUGGGGGCCUUCCCUGGGCCGGGGGCCUUAGGCGACCGCCUUGGUCGCCUAAGGCUCGAGCCGGCACUG